rnacentral:rRNA from 1 species
GACGAACGCUGGCGGCGUGCCUAAUACAUGCAAGUUGAGCGCUGAAGGUUGGUACUUGUACCAACUGGAUGAGCAGCGAACGGGUGAGUAACGCGUGGGGAAUCUGCCUUUGAGCGGGGGACAACAUUUGGAAACGAAUGCUAAUACCGCAUAAAAACUUUAAACACAAGUUUUAAGUUUGAAAGAUGCAAUUGCAUCACUCAAAGAUGAUCCCGCGUUGUAUUAGCUAGUUGGUGAGGUAGAGGCUCACCAAGGCGAUGAUACAUAGCCGACCUGAGAGGGUGAUCGGCCACAUUGGGACUGAGACACGGCCCAAACUCCUACGGGAGGCAGCAGUAGGGAAUCUUCGGCAAUGGACGAAAGUCUGACCGAGCAACGCCGCGUGAGUGAAGAAGGUUUUCGGAUCGUAAAACUCUGUUGGUAGAGAAGAACGUUGGUGAGGGUGGAAAGCUCAUCAAGUGACGGUAACUACCCAGAAAGGGACGGCUAACUACGUG